GAGAAAGGUAGAACCUAGUAGUCGAUGAACCAGGGAGAGACAGGUAGAACCUCGAAGUCGAUGGACCAGGGAGAGAAAGGUAGAACCUUGUAGUCGAUGAACCAGGGAGAGAAAGGUAGAACCUCGUAGUCGAUGAACCAGGGAGAGACAGGUAGAAUAACGUAGUCAAUGAACCAGGGAGAGAAAGGUAGAACCUCGUAGUCGAUGAACCAGGGAGAAAAAGGUAGAACGUCGUAGUCGAUGAACCAGGAAGAGAAAGGUAGAACCUCGUAGUUGAUGAACCAGGGAGAAAAAGGUAGAACCUCGUAGUCGAUGAACCAGGAAGAGAAAGGUAGAAACUCGUAGUCGAUGAACCAGGGAGAGAAAGGUAGAACCUCGUAGUCGAUGAACCAGGGAGAGACAGGUAGAACAACGUAGUCAAUGAACCAGGGAGAGAAAGGUAGAACCUCGUAGUCGAUGAACCAGGGAAGGAAGGUAGAACCUCGUAGUCGAUGAACCAGGAAGAGAAAGGUAGAACCUCGUAGUCGAUGAACCAGGAAGAGAAAGGUAGAACCUCGUAGUCGAUGAACCAGGGAGAGAAAGGUAGAACCUCGUAGUCGAUGAACCAGGUACAGAAAGGUAGAACCUUGUAGUCGAUGAACCAGGGAGAGAAAGGUAGAACCCAGUAGUAUAUGAACCAGGGAGAAACAUGUAGAACCCAGUAGUAUAUGGACCAGGGAGAAACAUGUAAAACCCAGUAGUACAUGAACCAGGGAGAGAAAGGUAGAACCUCGUAGUCGAUGAACCAGGGAGAGAAAGGUAGAACCUCAUAGUAUAUGGACCAGGGAGAAACAUGUAGAACCCAGUAGUAUAUGAACCAGGGAGAGAAAGGUAGAACCUCGUAGUCGAUGAACCAGGGAGAGAAAGGUAGAACCCAGUAGUAUAUGAACCAGGGAGAGAAAGGUAGAACCUCGUAGUCGAUGAACCAGGGAGAGACAGGUAGAACCCAGAAGUAGAUAGAGAGAGCGAGAUCGACAAAGAACAUAGAAUGAGACCCAAAUAGAGAUAAUGUAGCGAUAUAUAGAGAUAAUAUAGAGAUAUAUAGAGAUAAUAUAUAUUUAUAUAGAGAUAAUAUAUCGAUAUAUGGAGCGUGAGAGAUUGAGAAAAUCGAUAGAACUUGAAUGCUUCACAAGUCGUCAGCGAGUCAGACACAGGUCAGGAAUGUUUACAAGUCGUCUGCGAGUCAGACACAGGUCAGGAAUGUUUACAAGCUAAAGUUAGGAACACAGUUUGGGGUUUUUAUUGCCUUGAAACUGUAGAAACUGGAAAUCAUUAAAAGCAUGAAAUCCCUGUUUGUGAAUCUUGGCAUAACCCCUCUCCAGAUAGAAAACAAACAUUGACUACGUCCCAAAUCGAACCAUAUUGCCUAUAUAGUGCCAUACUUUUGACCAGGACUCAUAGGGUUCUGUUCAGAAGUAGUGCGCCAUAUAGGGAAUAGGGUGCCAUAGGGCUCUGGUCUAAAGUAGUGCACUAUAUAGGGAAUAGGGUGCCAUAGGGCUCUGGUAUAAAGUAGUGCACUAUAUAGGGAAUAGGGUGCCAUAGGGCCCUGGUCUAAAGUAGUGCACUAUAUAGGGAAUAGGGUGCCAUAUGGCUCUGGUCUAAAGUAGUGCACUAUAUAGGGAAUAGGGUGCCAUACGCUCUGGUAUAAAGUAGUGCACUAUAUAUAGGGAAUAG
rnacentral:lncRNA from 1 species